rnacentral:rRNA from 1 species
ACGGGAGGCAGCAGUAGGGAAUCUUCCGCAAUGGACGAAAGUCUGACGGAGCAACGCCGCGUGAGUGAUGAAGGUUUUCGGAUCGUAAAGCUCUGUUGUUAGGGAAGAACAAGUGCCGUUCAAAUAGGGCGGCACCUUGACGGUACCUAACCAGAAAGCCACGGCUAACUACGUGCCAGCAGCCGCGGUAAUACGUAGGUGGCAAGCGUUGUCCGGAAUUAUUGGGCGUAAAGGGCUCGCAGGCGGUUUCUUAAGUCUGAUGUGAAAGCCCCCGGCUCAACCGGGGAGGGUCAUUGGAAACUGGGGAACUUGAGUGCAGAAGAGGAGAGUGGAAUUCCACGUGUAGCGGUGAAAUGCGUAGAGAUGUGGAGGAACACCAGUGGCGAAGGCGACUCUCUGGUCUGUAACUGACGCUGAGGAGCGAAAGCGUGGGGAGCGAACAGGAUUAGAUACCCUGGUA